AUAUAUUUUAAUAGAUUAUUUAAUUUAUUAUUAUAAAUUAAAUAAAGUAUUUAUACUAUUUUUUUAUUCGGGGGUUAUUAAAAGUUAAUAAUUAGUUGUUAAAUAAUUAAUUUUUUAAUUUUUAAUGAUCACUAGGUUAUUUUAAAAUGUUAUGGGGAUUUUAAAGUAAUUCUAGUUUUUGUGGGAGGGAAACACCCUAUUUAUGUUUACAUAUUUAUUGAUAGUUAAAAAAAGUUUUAUUAAAGCUUAAAAAUUUAGUAUAGUUUUAGUUUAAAUGUAAAUUUUUGUGUUUUUAUUUUUUUUAAUAAAAUAUAAUGAAUUUGCAAUAAAUAAUUUUAAAUAUUAAGGAAAUUUAGAUUUAGUAAUAAUAAAAGUAUUAACAAAAUUUGUGCCAGCAGUUGCGGUUAUACAAGUUAUACAAUUAAAUAUUUUUAGUUUUAAUUUAUUGAUAAUUAAUAAUUUUGUAUUUAAAUUUAAUAAGUGAAAUUUUAAAUUUUGAAAAGAUUAAUAUUUGUUAAUGAUUUAAUAAAUUUUAAAUAUAAACUAGGAUUAGAUACCCUAUUAUUUAAAAUGUAAUUGUAAAGACUAAAUUAGUAUUUGUUAUAUUCAUGAAAAUUAAAGAUUUUGGCGGUAUUUUAGUCUAUUCAGAGGAACCUGUUCUAUAAUUGAUAGUCCACGAUUAAAUUUACUUUUUUUAUAUAAAUUUAUAUAUCGUCGUAGUUUGAAUAUUUUAUAAGAAUUUAAAUAUUCAAGAUUUAUAAUAAUAAAAUAAAUCAGAUCAAGGUGUAGUUUAUAAAAAAGUAGAGAUGGGUUACUUUAAUAUAAAUUUGAGAUAAUUAUUUUUAUAAUAUUUUGAAUUAGGAUUUGACAGUAAUUUUAAUUAUUUAAUUAAAAUGAUUUUAGCUCUAAAAUAUGUACAUAUCGCCCGUCGCUUUCAUUUUAAUGUGAAAUAAGUCGUAACAAAGUAAAUUUACUGGAAAGUGAAUUUAGAUU
rnacentral:ncRNA from 1 species